rnacentral:lncRNA from 1 species
GGUAUUGCUUCAAUAGGGUUAGCAGGUUAUAGAUACAUGUGGGUAUUGCUUCAAUAGGGUUAGCAGGUUAAUAGAUACAUGUGGGUAUUGCUUCAAUAGGGUUAGCAGGUUAAUAGAUACAUGUGGGUAUUGCUUCAACAAGGUUAGCAGGUUAAUAGAUACAUGUGGGUAUUGCUUCAACAAGGUUAGCGCGUUAAUAGAUACAUGUGGGUAUUGCUCAACAAGGUUAGC